UAAAUUAUUUGUAAGUCAUCUAAAAAAAAAUUUUUUUUAAGCCCCAGCCCUUGGCCACACCACCACUCACACCCCUAAAAUUAAAGUGUCUCUCUUUGUCCAUUUGAAAUGUUGGGAGGUAUGCAUGAUAUACAAGAUCUAUGGAGGAUUCUGUGGUUUUAUGGGAUCUUCCAUUUAGUCAUUUUAUACUUUCACACAUGCCAAAGAAUACAAGAGUGAUGCAAGUCCUCGUGGCUACCUCUGCCAGAAACAGAAAUUAGCAAUAAACAAAAAGAUGAAGGAUGCCCAGGUUCGGUAAGAAUAUAUCUGUUUCUCCUCUUCCACAGAAGCCACCAUGUAAAUGGAUCUCUUUGAAGGU